AUUGAACGCUGGCGGCAUGCUUUACACAUGCAAGUCGAACGGUAACGGGCCGCAAGGUGCUGACGAGUGGCGAACGGGUGAGUAAUGCAUCGGAACGUGCCCAGUCGUGGGGGAUAACGCAGCGAAAGCUGCGCUAAUACCGCAUACGAUCUAUGGAUGAAAGCGGGGGACCGUAAGGCCUCGCGCGAUUGGAGCGGCCGAUGUCAGAUUAGGUAGUGGGUGGGGUAAAGGCUCACCAAGCCAACGAUCUGUAGCUGGUCUGAGAGGACGACCAGCCACACUGGGACUGAGACACGGCCCAGACUCCUACGGGAGGCAGCAGUGGGGAAUGUUGGACAAUGGGCGCAAGCCUGAUCCAGCAAUGCCGCGUGCAGGAAGAAGGCCUUCGGGUUGUAAACUGCUUUUGUACGGAACGAAACGGUCCUGGUUAAUACCUGGGGCUAAUGACGGUACCGUAAGAAUAAGCACCGGCUAACUACGUGCCAGCCGCCGCGGUAAAAC
rnacentral:rRNA from 1 species